AACCCUUAUUGCUAGUUACCAUCAUUAAGUUGGGGACUCUAGCGAGACUGCCAGUGAUAAACUGGAGGAAGGUGGGGAUGACGUCAAAUCAUCAUGCCCCUUAUGACCUGGGCUACAAACGUGAUACAAUGGCUGAAACAAAGGGCAGCGAAGCAGUGAUGUGAAGCGAAACCCAAAAAAGCAGUCUCAGUUCGGAUUGAAGUCUGCAACUCGACUUCAUGAAGUCGGAAUCGCUAGUAAUCGCGAAUCAGAACGUCGCGGUGAAUACGUUCUCGGGGUUU
rnacentral:rRNA from 1 species